CGCACCCACCUAUCUUACGAAAACCUCCCGAACCCCUCUCACGACUUCUCAUCUCUCGCCUUCUCCAUCCAACUCCUCCUCUCACGCCCUCUCCGUCCAACUUCUCUCCGGAAAACCCCUCUCUGGCGAACCCCUCUCUGUAAACCUCCCCUCCGAAGUCCUCUCCGUCAACAAGAAGAGGAGCUCCAGGAUGCUCAACACGAAGAGGAGCUACGCGCAGUACCAUCUCGAAUUAGGGCAGUCGGACUUCCUCCUCCGCUCCUGCUCCGUCUGCGGGAUGAUGUACGCCCCCGGGGACGAGUCAGACGAGAAGCUCCACGGGGAUUUCCAUAAGAAGUACUACGAAGGAAUUCGGUUCAAGGGCUGGCGCGAUGAGAGAGUUGUCUCGACGCCCAGCGGAGGCAAUUGCCGCAUCCUAUUGGUUCUCGACGGUGACUCCCCAUCGCACAAGCACAAGGUUAAGGAGGUGCUUACGAUCAUGGAGAAGGAACUUGGGUUCCAAAUAGUUCUCUGAGACGUUGCUUUGUUUAAUAAGGCUGCAUAUAAUAUUGGAGGGCAAGUCAUUACUGCCAACUGCAUUGAGUACUCCAUUUUGGGUUGUCGGACAUCUCGGAUGGGUCGUGUAUGAUCUUAAUUUGUAUGAUUAGAAAUUCAAUAUUCUUUAUCAUCAACUUCGUCGUGCCAAUAACUUCUAACUGUCGUUAUUGAUCUAAUCUGAAAUUGUAUGUUUGGUCUGAUCACUCAUUAGCCACAUCACUGUCUUCUCUCUUCAUCAGUGGCUUGAAACUAUACUCUCAAAUGCUACAAGGAAGAAAUCUGGGGAAGACAAGCAGCUUAUCUGGUCCAAAAUGGGUCUCCCUAGUUGCCAUCCCCUUGUUUUCUUUGCAAUCUGCACCGGAGCUUCCUCGGACCCCAUUCUAAGAGUCUACAGUGCCAAGAAUGUGACAGAGGAGCUGGAGAAAGCCAAGAAGGAAUUCCUUCGAUCCCACGUUGUGGUCAAGAAAUCUAACAAAGUUUUUCUGCCAAAAGUCCUCGAUAGAUACGCAAAAGAGAUAUGCACCAACUGUGACAAUUCUACAAGCUUUAAUAGACAUGCAAGCUUUAAGUCUAUCAAGCAUGUUAAACUAAAAAUUCUACAAGCUUUUCUUAGGAAGUUGGCAAUUUUCCACUAUUGGUUAAACUCAUAUUCUAAAGAACGUUUCAUUUUAGCUUUCUUUCUGCAAAUACUGUAUGCAUUUUAGAAUGAAGAAAUAUUGUAUUGUAUGCAUUUUACUAGCUUCUCAUGUAAAUACUAAUAUUACUUCAAUGUCAGAAUUCUAUUAUUUUGAUAUGAGUUUGAAAUCAUUAGCUGAGUUGAUUAUAUGUAAAA